GACGCCUUGCCCUUCAAUCAUUAAUCGGAUCAUUGGUUGUUGUUCUUGGUGUUCUGUUGCUUGCUGUAGAUUCCAUAUUAUUUUGACACUCCUUUAUUCUCAUAUAUUGUGUGCCCAGUUUUUUGAGUUCUAACAAUGCCCUUCCUUUACUUGGUAUUUCUCUUAAAGAAUUGAAUUUUUUCACCAUUGGACCUGCAUAACUAAAAAUUAUGUUAGUAAAAAAAUAUGCGACUUGAUUGCCCUCUCUGUAAAUAUGUUCGACUAAGGCCCCAAUUAAUAGCUAAUACCCUCUUUAAGUAGUUUGCAACAAUUGCAAUACUCCAUGGAGUUUUCCACACUCCAUCAAGUACCCUUUUACAUAUCAAAGAAUCUGUUUCUAAAACAACAUGCAUUACAUUGUGAGUGCAGCAAUACUCUUGCCCAAACAUUAGGGCUUUCAUUUCUGCCAUCAACACUGAUUCCUUCCCAAUAUUUCUUGUUUCUACAUAUACAAAGUUGCCUGCAACAUCUCUAAUACAAAAUGCACUAGAAAAGUUGCCUGUCAAAGAAUCCAAUCCUC
rnacentral:lncRNA from 1 species